CCUACGGGUGGCAGCAGUGGGGAAUAUUGCACAAUGGGCGCAAGCCUGAUGCAGCCAUGCCGCGUGUGUGAAGAAGGCCUUCGGGUUGUAAAGCACUUUCAGCGGGGAGGAAGGCGUUAAGGUUAAUAACCUUGGCGAUUGACGUUACCCGCAGAAGAAGCACCGGCUAACUCCGUGCCAGCAGCCGCGGUAAUACGGAGGGUGCAAGCGUUAAUCGGAAUUACUGGGCGUAAAGCGCACGCAGGCGGUCUGUCAAGUCGGAUGUGAAAUCCCCGGGCUCAACCUGGGAACUGCAUUCGAAACUGGCAGGCUAGAGUCUUGUAGAGGGGGGUAGAAUUCCAGGUGUAGCGGUGAAAUGCGUAGAGAUCUGGAGGAAUACCGGUGGCGAAGGCGGCCCCCUGGACAAAGACUGACGCUCAGGUGCGAAAGCGUUGGGAGCAAACAGGAUUAGAUACCCUUGUAGUC
rnacentral:rRNA from 1 species